GUGAGGCAUUUGCGCCUCUGGCACCUGUGCUGUGCUGCUGGGAGUUAAGCUGCAGCACGAGAACACAUGCUUGCACAAACUGGGGCUGCCCGUCCUUCCGGCGGGACCUUUAACAGAGAGGGAAAAGG
rnacentral:snoRNA from 1 species